rnacentral:rRNA from 1 species
AGAGUUUGAUCCUGGCUCAGAUUGAACGCUGGCGGCAUGCCUUACACAUGCAAGUCGAGCGGCAGCGCGGGGCAACCUGGCGGCGAGUGGCGAACGGGUGAGUAAUAUAUCGGAACGUACCCUGGAGUGGGGGAUAACGUAGCGAAAGUUACGCUAAUACCGCAUACGAUCUAAGGAUGAAAGUGGGGGAUCGCAAGACCUCAUGCUCCUGAGGCGGCCGAUAUCUGAUUAGCUAGUUGGCGGGGUAAAAGCCCACCAAGGCAACGAUCAGUAGCUGGUCUGAGAGGACGACCAGCCACACUGGAACUGAGACACGGUCCAGACUCCUACGGGAGGCAGCAGUGGGGAAUUUUGGACAAUGGGCGCAAGCCUGAUCCAGCAAUGCCGCGUGAGUGAAGAAGGCCUUCGGGUUGUAAAGCUCUUUU